UGAUAUAAUAUUGGCUAUACUAAUCACUCUAUUUCUAGGCGGAUGCAUGAAUAAUGCUGCUUUUUUAUCAAAAGAAAUGUCUUUUCACUCACAUCAAAUAAUUUUAAAUGAAUUGGGCGCUUGUCAUUCAUGUUUGACUUUUCUUCUUUUAUGUUGUUGCAUAAUACGUGUAGUGGCCAUCAAAACGCUCACCACUCAGAGAAACGCACGUAAGGUACAUAGUUCAUAUCACUAGACUUGAUGGGUAUGUGUAAAGGGCUCAUUUGUUAAAUUAUGAAUUCAUUUGUCGAUAUUUUUGCGUGACCUACUUUUUAUUUAAUUAUCACCAUGUGCCCAGUUAGUGAAUGUUUAUGUAGUACAUGUACUUCACAAAUCAUGUAUCUAUUAAACAGUUAAGAUUAUCUCAGUCUGUAACUAUGUUCAAAAUCCUAAAAUGAUACUAUUUGAAACGGGUUUGAAAGUGAAAUUUAGCGUUUGUAUCUAUUCAAGGAUACAAACUACAAUGUAUAUACUAGUAUCCGUUUUGUUAGGGACUAACUUUUAUUUUUAUCGAAGUUCCAGACUUUAUUAAAAUUGACUAAUUUAAAAAUCAAUUUCAAAACCAGAUUUCAUACACAGUAUUUGUUUUGCAUAUUCGAAUUAAAAGUUCAAAAUCUGGAAUACGUAAGAGUUGUAAUUAAGGGAACUACAUAUUAUGUAGCUGGUCGUGGCCAUUUUUAGACUGUUUUGAUCUCCUUUUGAAGAGCUCUAUAUGAAAUAUAGAAAAGAAAAAAACAAUUUUGAAAUGUAAAAUAUAUGUGAUUUUUUUCUUUACUAUUAAGUAAUUGUUUAUAGCCAAAUAAAUCAUAUUUCGAAAUCUUAGGUAUAUCUGGUAAUUAAUUUGUUGACUAUCCAGCCUCAUCUUGAAAUUUUGGAAAAUUUAAUUUCUUAUUAAAAAUUCUAGUUUUUAAAAGUGAUAAUAAACUAUGUAAUAAU
rnacentral:misc_RNA from 1 species